rnacentral:hammerhead_ribozyme from 1 species
AUCCAGUUGAUGAGUCCCAAAUAGGACGAAAUGCACAUCCUGGAU